AGUAAGUAAUGAAGGAAAUGAAGGACAAAAAGAAGCUAUAAGCAUUUGUAUUUGCAGAAGAGAAGAUUUACUUCCUCUGUGGGUAACCAGGUUAUCAGGCUUGGUGUUUUCCAAAGAAAAGCUAGGUAGAUUGCAUUAGGGGCUGGAGCCCCAGGCAUGAUCUGUCUGUCUCGCUAGUGCCACAGUUAUGCAUGUUGUGUUCCUCUAGAGUGAGUUUCAGCAAAGGCACAUGGCAUGAUUCCACUUCUUGGCUCCCAUGGAGCUUAUGGACCAGUAAGGAAACUUCUCAUCUAUAAGGGAGCAACUGGAAAUGUGGAAUUGGAGUUCAUUGUGGUGCAGAUUUGGGAAUUUCAGGCCACAGACAGCAGUUAUGGCCCAGGAAUGACUGAUUUUCCAGAGGGAAAAGAAGACAAGUAAAGAGAUGGAGACUUCUUCCAGGAACCUAAGGUGCUUCAUUGUCCACAGAGAUGCCCUAUCUCAUAGCCCUCAGUCACUCAUAUCUGGAUACAUUGUACCUUGUCAACACCAAUAAUGGACAUACCUCUGAUAUUUGAACUCUGAAUCUCACUCUGUGAUCACGACUUUGUAUCUUUCUAAGUCUUUAAUCUUCAGCCUCACAGAACUCCUCGUACCCUAAAAUAUAGCAUUUUCACCUGGUCUGUCA